UAACUUAGUAGCCGUAGAGUUUGAUCCUGGCUCAGGAUAAGUCGUAACAAGGUAGCCGUAGAGUUUGAUCCUGGCUCAGGAUCACGCGGAACAACCUACCUAGUAGACUGGGAUAACUUCGGGAAACCGGAGCUAAUACCGGAUAAUAUUUCGAACCGCAUGGUUCGAUAGUGAAAGAUGGCUUUGCUAUCACUUAUAGAUGGACCUGCGCCGUAUUAGCUAGUUGGUAAGGUAACGGCUUACCAAGGCAACGAUACGUAGCCGACCUGAGAGGGUGAUCGGCCACACUGGAACUGAGACACGGUCCAGACUCCUACGGGAGGCAGCAGUAGGGAAUCUUCCGCAAUGGGCGAAAGCCUGACGGAGCAACGCCGCGUGAGUGAUGAAGGUCUUCGGAUCGUAAAACUCUGUUAUUAUGGAAGAACAAACGUGUAAGUAACUGUGCACGUCUUGACGGUACCUAAUCAGAAAGCCACGGCUAACUACGUGCCAGCAGCCGCGGUAAUACGUAGGUGGCAAGCGUUAUCCGGAAUUAUUGGGCGUACAGCGCGCGUAGGCGGUUUUUUAAGUCUGAUGUGAAAGCCCACGGCUCAACCGUGGAGGGUCAUUGGAAACUGGAAAACUUGAGUGCAGAAGAGGAAAGUGGAAUUCCAUGUGUAGCGGUGAAAUGCGCACAGAUAUGGAGGAACACCAGUGGCGAACGCGACUUUUCUGGUCUGUAACUGACGCUGAUGUGCGAAAGCGUGGGGAUCAAACACGAUUACAUACCCUGGUAGUCCACGCCGUAAACGAUGAGUGCUAAGUGUUAGGGGGUUUCCGCCCCUUACUGCUGCAGCUAACGCAUUAAGCACUCCGCCUGGGGAGUACGACCGGAGGGUUGAAACUCAAAAGGAUUGACGGCGACCCCGCACAAGCGGUGGGACCAUGUGUUUUAGUUCAAAGCUAGCGCGAAAACUUACCAAAUCUGGACGAUCCUUUGAAUCCUUCUAGGAGAUAGAAAUUACCUCCUUCGGGAGGACAAAGUGACAGAGGAUGCAUGGUUGUCGUUCGCUCCAUGUCGAGGAAUUGGUGGGCUUAGAUCCUGCAACGAGCCGCAGCCCUUAGCCUUACUUGCCAUCAUUACAGUGGGACCUAAGUUGACUGCCGGUGACAACGGAUGAGGCGUGAAUGACGUCCAGGAGACUGUCAGUACCCUCUUCAGUAU
rnacentral:rRNA from 1 species